rnacentral:rRNA from 1 species
GACGAACGCUGGCGGCGUGCUUAACACAUGCAAGUCGAACGGAAAGGCCCUGCGCUUGUGGGGUGCUCGAGUGGCGAACGGGGGAGUAACACGUGAGUAACCUGACCUUGACUUUGGGAUAACUUCAGGAAACUGGGGCUAAUACCGGAUAGGAGCUCCUGCUGCAUGGUGGUGGUUGGAAAGUUUAGGCGGUUGGGGAUGGACUCGCGGCUUAUCAGCUUGUUGGUGGGGUAGUGGCUUACCAAGGCUUUGACGGGUAGCCGGCCUGAGAGGGUGACCGGGCACAUUGGGCCUGAGAUACGGACCAGUAUGCUACGGGAGGCAGCAGUGGGGAACAUUGCACAGUGGGCGGACGUCUGAUGCAGCAACGCUGCGUGCGGGAUGACGGGUUUCGGGGUGUAAACAGCUGUCGCCUGUGACGAGGCGUGAGUGACGGUAAUGGGUAAAGAAGCACCGGCUAACUACGUG